rnacentral:lncRNA from 1 species
CUCAUUGGAUUUAAAUGAAUUUAACUUGAUUUCUUCUUGCAUUUCAACUAAAGAAGUAUGGGAGAAACUAGAAACAACCUUUGAAGGAGCAUAUGAAAGAGAAGAAUUAAGCUCCCAAGAAGAAAAGGAAGCUCACUCCAAUUUUUGUCUCAUGGCACAUGAGAAUGAAAAGAAGAAGAAGAACAAGGAAAAAAGAAAAAAGAAAGCUUCGAUUAAGGGGGAGCAAAAUAAAGAGAAAAAAGAUGAAAAAGAAGAGCAAAAAGUAGACAAAUCAUGCUUGAUGGAUAA